UAUAGGCAACACAGUUAAAUGUAUAGGCAGUCCAGUUGACCAAUAACAUGGCUGUUUGAAUUUGAAAUGGAGUGGGCGGAUCUGUGCACCUUUCGAGCAAAACGUGGUGUGUUCCUGGACAGUUUUGAAACCGAGAUGUCUGAAUGCCUCAAAUAAUCAGCAGUAAAAACAACAGAGACAAAUUCUCUAAUACCAAGGUCAAUGCAUUUGACUGCUGUCCAGCCCCGGGUUGCCACCGAAAACUUUAUGCAUCUUGGACUGGAAGAUGGUGUGCUAGUAAGGAAGCUAGCUACCACAGCUUUUGCCACCACAUCUCAGUAUUGGGAGGGAAGUUCACUCACUGCACAACUCUACCAGCUGUACCUUUCCUCCUCAGCCAUGAUCCGUAACCACCAUGGUUUUCUUUCUAGGCCAGAAGACUUUGCAAACAAAUAAGCAAUAAAUGAUCAUGCAUUACAAAUUUAGCCAUGUUAGACUGUUAAGUUGUUGGCUUGUAGGCUGGGUGUCCAGUUAACAAUUUCAAGCUUAGAGGGCAAAUUCUCUCACCUAGGAGGGUAAACAACUUUUGUUUUUCAUGAAAUCUGCAUUUUGAAUUGAUGGUCUACCAAUGAGGCUGUAGAGUAUCGCGACACAAUAGUGGCAAAAAGC